GCGCAUGCAGGUGGUUUGUUAAGUCAGAUGUGAAAGCCCGGGGCUCAACCUCGGAAUUGCAUUUGAAACUGGCAAACUAGAGUACUGUAGAGGGGGUAGAAUUUCAGGUGUAGCGGUGAAAUGCGUAGAGAUCUGAAGGAAUACCGGUGGCGAAGGCGGCCCCCUGGACAGAUACUGACACUCAGAUGCGAAAGCGUGGGGAGCAAACAGGAUUAGAUACCCUGGUAG
rnacentral:rRNA from 1 species